GGCCUAAUGGUCUAGUAGCAUGAUACCUCCUUCGGGAUUUAGCGGAUUCCGCGUUGACUCGUCGCGCUUGGAGGUGGUCCUGGGUUCAAUUCCCAGUUAGGCCC